CCUACGGGAGGCAGCAGUGAGGAAUAUUGGUCAAUGGGCGUAAGCCUGAACCAGCCAAGUCGCGUGAGGGAUGAAGGUUCUAUGGAUCGUAAACCUCUUUUAUAAGGGAAUAAAGUGCGGGACGUGUCCCGUGUUGUAUGUACCUGAUGAAUAAGGAUCGGCUAACUCCGUGCCAGCAGCCGCGGUAAUACGGAGGAUCCGAGCGUUAUCCGGAUUUAUUGGGUUUAAAGGGUGCGUAGGCGGCCUUUUAAGUCAGCGGUGGAAGUCUGUGGCUCAACCAUAGAAUUGCCGUUGAAACUGGGAGGCUGGCGUGUGUUUGAGGCAGGCGGAAUGCGUGGUGUAGCGGUGAAAUGCAUAGAUAUCACGAAGAACCCCGAUUGCGAAGGCAGCUUACUAAACUGUGACUGACAUUGCGGCUCGAAAGUGUGGGUAUCAAACAGGAUUAGAUACCCGAGUAGUC
rnacentral:rRNA from 1 species